GCGCGGGCGUGGUCACAGCAGCGCGAAGGCUAUAAAAGGCGCGCGCAGUUAAGUACAGUAGUACUCGUCUAUCUUGAUCAAGGGCUGAUCCUGAGGAAAGGUGUUCCUGGAGGGAGUCCAGUAGACUGUCCCCCAGUCUGGGGCUACUCUGUCAACGUCUCCAUCCUCUCCUUGAAUAUCGACACGUGUACUGACGUAAUCCUCGAUUACAUUAAAUUUUGUGAGGAUGUCUGCAUUCCAUUGAAGGUGGUGAAGUUGCACCCAAAUAACAAACCCUGGUUUGGCCACUCGCUGCGUCACCUACUAAAGAUGAAAACGGCGGCAUUUAAGUCUGGUGACCCCCAAGAGUACAAAAAAGCCAAGGACAACUUUUAUCGGCGGAUUAAAGUAGCCAAACGUUCAUACAAAGGAAAACUGGAGAACAGACUGUCGGGUACAAAUGGAAGCAGAGAACUUUGGGAGAGUGUCAGGGCUGUCAUCCCAUACAAGUCCAAAUCUACUUCAGUCAACUUGGACAAUGUCAAUCUUCCUGACGAACUCAACAAAAUUUAUAGCCGGUUCGAGCAGGAAAAUGACAUACACCCUCUCAGAAAUGUUGGUCCUCCCCUAUUUGUAAUCGCGUAGGUGGACACUUGUUGUGUUUUUCACGGUUGAAUGCAAGGAAAGCUUCAGGUUCCGAUGGAAUUUAAUCUCGUUUACUGAAAUCAUGUUCUGGUGAACUUUCUUUUAUAUUUACAUCAAUUUUUAAUUGGUUUUUAACAUUGUGUAAAAUUCCACAGGUUUUAAAAAAUCAAUUAUAGUUCCAGUACCGAAAAACUCCUAUAACAGCUUCAACGAUUAUCGGCCAGUGGCACUCACAUCACAAGUCAUGAAAUCACUAGAGCGUAUUGUUUUGGAUUAUUUUAAGUUUGCCAUUUCAAAGUCACUGGGUCCUUUACAAUUUGCAUACCGUGCCAAUCAUACUGCAUUAUGUGUUCCAACAUUUAGACAGUAGAUCAUCAACAUAUGCCAGACUUUUGUUUAUUGAUUUCAGUUUUUGCAUUUAAUACAAUAUUACCAUCCAAAUUAUACAAUAAGCUCAAUGAAUUCGGUUUGAACUCAUCACAUUGUAGCUGGAUUUACGAUUUUCUUAUACCGAUCGCAGUCAAGUUGUUAGAGUGAAUUCUUUAAUCUCAAACUCAAUUGUUACGAAUACCGGCGCUCCCCAAGAGUGUGUGCUAUCACCAUUGCUAUAUUCAUUGUACACUUAUGAUUGCUUUUCUUCAUUUGAUGCCUGUAAAAUUGUCAAUUAUUCGUAGACGACACACAAAAACACAACUUGAAACAAGAGAUUGACUGUAGGGCAUCGGUCUUCGUGUCGCUAAUCUUUUUAUUUAUUUUAGUUUCUCAAUUAUAUUUUUUGAAUAGCCUAAAUUGGCCAUCAUCAAUUGGGGCACGCUUGCCCAAAACCUUGCCACGCUUGGCAUCAUGUGG